ensembl:lncRNA
GCAAAACAGCAGAGGCGCGAUUUUACAGCGGGCGCGCGCGCAAACAAGAGCCUCCAACCUCAGAUCGAUUUGAGCAUAUCAGUCACAAUGCCCUAUCAGCGAGGUGCAGGGUAACCUGAUUUUAGGAGGAGUUAUGGGAUUUGCGCGCGGGGCGGGGGGCUCCCGCGCUCCAACAAAAGGCCCGCGUUAAAUCGCUGGCAGCGGCGCGGCGACGCUCGGAAAGCCGGUUACGGAGCGCUCGCUUCCCGAGGAAACGAUUGCGCGAUCCGCGAGGAACCGGCUGCCACUGGCGAUGUUCUUCCUGCGGCUGUUCUUGUCAGGUGUAAUCAUUUUGUUGCGCUUAAUGUUUUAUGCAAAUGCGCUCGGGUUGGGUUGUUCGGGGGCCUGUGGGUGUGCGGCGCGCGCUUCGCAUCACGGGGGGGUUUGUGUGAGGCCGCAGGACACAUCGCGGCUGCGGGUUUCCUGAUGAAGAGCGUCGGGAUACAGGAACAUCCUCCUCAUCCUCACCUCUGAUGCACCUGUGCAUCACUGAAGCCACACACGACACAUCACUCAUGGUUGGUGGACCUGUACUGUACUCUGGUCUUCACUUCAAAGAGUAGUUCCAUGCAAAGCCAAACAUAUUUCUAUUUGUGAAAAUACACCAGCAUGCACUUUCACUACACUAAUGAAAAACAGCUGUGCAGAGAGUGCAGAAGAUACAAGAAGGCUAUAAUAGCACCAGGAUGAACCACAUACAAACAAAUAUAUGAAUAAUUGGAGAUGUUGAAGUUAACUUACUCGAUUGAAAGACCUUAGGGUGCGUUCAGCUCCUCCUGGGAAGUUCGUGUUUAUGUAAUUCCGACAUCAUGUGCAUUGAAAUCACUUCGGUCAGAGAAAGAUGUGAUGCUAAAAUAUGUGAUUUUUUCAACAAAAUUAUGACUGAAGAACAUGCAUUGGAUUUGUUUAGCUGGUAACACUUUACAUUGAUAGUCUACUUUAUACAUUCUACUAACAGUAAGUAACUUUGCAACUACGUGUCCACUAGCAGUCAUUAGAGUAUUAGUAGACUGUCUGCUUAAUGUCUGCUCACACUUUAUUAUGAAGGGUCCACAACAUACUGACUUUAAGAAACUUUGCAAGUAUAUGUCAACUUAUUCUACUAACCCUAA